rnacentral:rRNA from 1 species
AUUGAACGCUGGCGGCAGGCCUAACACAUGCAAGUCGAGCGAGCGGCGGACGGGUGAGUAAUGUAUGGGGACUGCCCGAUAGAGGGGGAUAACUACUGGAAACGGUGGCUAAUACCGCAUACUAUCGGAUAACCCAUAUUGGAUGAGCUAGUAGGUGGGGUAAAGGCUAACCUAGGCGACGAUCUCUAGCUUGUUUGAGAGGAUGCUCAGACACACUGGUACUGAGAAACGGCCCAGACUCCUACGGUGGCAGCAGUGGGGAAUAUUGCACAAUGGGCGCAAGCCUGAUGCAGCCAUGCCGCGUGUAUGAAGAAGGCCUUAGGGUUGUAAAGUACUUUCAGCGGUGAGGCGUUACCCGCAGAAGAAGCACCGGCUAACUCCGUGCCAGCCGCCGCGGUAAUUC